GACGAACGCUGGCGGCGUGCCUAACACAUGCAAGUCGAACGGAGUAAACCGCUGAAUUGAUGGUAGCUUGCUACUGGAUUUUCUUGGUUUACUUAGUGGCGGACGGGUGAGUAACGCGUGAGUAACCUGCCUUACAGAGGGGGACAACAGUUGGAAACGACUGCUAAUACCGCAUAAUAUAUGAUUGUCGCAUGGCAGACAUAUCAAAGGAGCAAUCCGCUGUAAGAUGGACUCGCGUCCAAUUAGAUAGUUGGUGGGGUAACGGCCCACCAAGUCGACGAUUGGUAGCCGGACUGAGAGGUUGAACGGCCACAUUGGGACUGAGACACGGCCCAG
rnacentral:rRNA from 1 species